rnacentral:rRNA from 1 species
UACAGAGGGUGCAAGCGUUGUUCGGAAUUAUUGGGCGUAAAGCGCGUGUAGGCGGCCGUGCAAGUCGGGUGUGAAAGCCCUCAGCUCAACUGAGGAAGUGCGCCCGAAACUGCAUGGCUUGAGUACCGGAGAGGAUGGCGGAAUUCCCGAAGUAGAGGUGAAAUUCGUAGAUAUCAGGAGGAACACCGGUGGCGAAGGCGGCCAUCUGGACGGAUACUGACGCUGAGACGCGAAAGCGUGGGUAGCAAACAGG